GAUGAACACUAGCUACAGGCUUAACACAUGCAAGUCGAGGGGUGACGAGAGGAAAGCUUGCUUUCCUUGUCGACGACCGGCGCACGGGUGAGUAACGCGUAUCCAACCUGCCCCCAACUAGGGAAUAACCUUGCGAAAGUAAGACUAAUACCCUAUAAUUUCCUCAGAUGCCAUCUGACGAGGAAUAAAGAUUUAUCGGUUGUGGAUGGGGAUGCGUCUGAUUAGCUUGUUGGCGGGGUAACGGCCCACCAAGGCAACGAUCAGUAGGGGUUCUGAGAGGAAGGUCCCCCACAUUGGAACUGGGACACGGUCCAAACUCCUACGGGAGGCAGCAGUGAGGAAUAUUGGUCAAUGGGCGGAAGCCUGAACCAGCCAAGUAGCGUGCAGGAUGACGGCCCUAUGGGUUGUAAACUGCUUUUAUACAGGAAUAAAGUUAGCCACGUGUGGUUAUUUGUAGGUACUGUAUGAAUAAGGACCGGCUAAUUCCGUGCCAGCAGCCGCCGUAA
rnacentral:rRNA from 1 species